ensembl:lncRNA
CAAAAGUAGGGACUUGGCCAGAAAACUGGGAAAGGCCCUGAAAUAAAAGGCAGGUUCCAAAUCCAUACCUGAUGUGCUUAGACAAGAGGCUCUUCCUUGCAUGAUCUUGAUUUUCCCAGUCUCAAAGUGAGAGGAGUUGGUGAUGUUCUUUAUUUCUUCUGGUUUUAAUAAUUUGGGAUAAAUGUGCAUAAUUUAAUAAUUGUGGCUUGAAUGGAUGCUCCAGAUAUUGAAAUGUCAGGUGUUACCAAUGGAAAACAGAAAAGUCUUUUAAUUUUGAUACAACAAUAAUGUAUAUUGCUUGCUUCCUCCUGACUGCUGUAGGAGAAGUGCAUGCUGAGUAGGCUCCAUAAGCAGAAGGCCAGUAUGAAGGCAAUGCCCAGAACUCCUACCUGUAAGGAUGGCAGUGCCGAAGCUAGAAGAGAUAAAGACUCCAUGAGGGCUUGGAUCAAUGCCUGGGCCCUGUGAUUUGAAAUGGAAUAGCAUCCUCAUUCCAGAAAGAGAAGGCUGCCUUCAAGGUGAGACAAACCUCCAAGUCCAGCACACAGCACUCAACAUGCCACAUGGUAGAUGGCAUCCAAGGGACAGAGAUUUUUCCCUGAAGAAGGAGAAUAUGGGAUUUCCCACGGACCCCUGAAAAAAAAAAGAACCAGUUCCUUUCGGAUUACCCAGAUCUUAAUUUACUACUUGAAAUCACUCUCUGUGAUUUGUUGGUUAUAGAUUGUCUAAAAUUAGGUCUCAAAGUUAAAUAUGAGGGUUGUCUUCAAGAUAUUUUAUGGGUUAUCCUGAAACCAGUGCCUGAUUUCUUUUUGGGUUUUGCUUGGGGUUUUACAAAAUUUCUUUUUCUUUAUUUAAUUGGUGUAUGUUUGUUUGCUUGUUUUUUUAACCUUAGUUUUCCCAUUUUUCUGGCAUAUUUUUUAAGUGCACUGCAUACUAUUAUCACUUGCCAGGCAUGGUGUAUAGUUUUACAUAGUUAUUGUUUUGCAUAUGUAUUGCUUCUUUAUUCCCUUCCCUCCUGGGUGCCCACUGUACUGUCUUUGACACAUGUCCUUAGAGCCUCUGCCUCUGCGAAUGAACUCAGUGUGAUGGGUGAAUAAUACAUUUGUAAUCCCUGUCUACAGCGUACAUUUCUGCCUGUUCAUGUCUGGAUUCCUGUCAGCGCUUUGCUCCACAGCUGGCAGUCACUACAUCCUCUUCUUCCAAAGCCUGGUGUGCUCAUAGGUGUUUUUUUUUUUUUGUACCAGGGAUUGAACUCGGGUUCUUGCAGUUGUGGAUCAGGCAGCAGAACCACUGAGCUAAAUCCCCGGCCCUAGGUGGGGUUUUUGAAAGGUGAUUGGACCAUGGCACACUGUUACUAACCGUGCCGCGAGGGAAUGAGGGCCUGGAUGGAAGAGGUGGUCAUAGAGCUGUGACCUUGGAGAAUGUGUCUCCCUCCCUGAGCCUCCCCUUCUUCCUUUGCUUCCUGGGCACCAUGAGGUGAGCAGCUUUCCUCCACAGCAGACCCUUCCACUAGGCCCUUCUCCAUUACAGCCAGAUGUCUGUGAACUGAGAACUCUAAAGUCAGUGAGCCCAAAACAUCCUCUCCUCUUAAGGUUGUAGGUGUUGGGUACUUUGUCCCAGCAACAAGAAAAGUGACUAAGAAUGAGUACUUUGCUGUCACCAGCAGAGCUGUGACAGACACCUCACGAGGUUCCUUACAACCAGUGUAAGCCUUUCCCUGGGAAUGUAAGGCUAGGAUUGAUGGUUGGGGGACACACACACACACACACACACACACACAUACACACACUCCUUUUCACUAUGUGCUGCCAGUGCUAUGAUAUUAUCUGGAAUUUUAACUUUUGCCAACUAGAUGGCUGUCAAGCAAGAUCUCACUGUUUUAAUAGGCAGUGAUAUGAUUAUGAGGAAGCUGAGGGUCAUUUUUAAUGGCUAGUCUGUUUUGCAGCAUUUCCUUCAGCUUCCUGCCUAUUUGAGUUCUUUAUAUACAGCUCUGGGUAGCAGAGCUGGAGUUCCAGCCAGUUGGCCUGGGAUAUACAUAGCCUGGCACUGCCAUUCAUGCAACCCAAGCAAGUUGCUUUCCAUCGUGGUCCCCUAGCUUCCUCAACUGUAAUAAGUAAAAACAGUUAAGUUCCUUAUAUGUUUGUGAAGAUUAAGUGAAUUAAAACCUAUAGAAUACUUAAAGGGCCAGACAAGUUAUAAAUAUGCAACAAAUAUUAUUAAAUUCACCAUUCCUAUUGGUUUAUUAAUAUUAUAUAUAAAUUAAUGUUAAUAUAUACUAUAAAUGUAAUUGUGG